AACGAACGCUGGCGGCAGGCCUAACACAUGCAAGUCGAGCGAGGACUUCGGUUCUAGCGGCGGACGGGUGAGUAACGCGUGGGAAUGUGCCCUUCUCUACGGAAUAGCCCUGGGAAACUGGGAGUAAUACCGUAUACGCCCUAUUGGGGAAAGAUUUAUCGGAGAAGGAUCAGCCCGCGUUGGAUUAGGUAGUUGGUGGGGUAAUGGCCUACCAAGCCGACGAUCCAUAGCUGGUUUGAGAGGAUGAUCAGCCACACUGGGACUGAGACACGGCCCAGACUCCUACGGGAGGGAGCAGUGGGGGAUCUUAGACAAUGGGGGCAACCCUGAUCUAGCCAUGCCGCGUGAGUGAUGAAGGCCUUAGGGUUGUAAAGCUCUUUCAGCUGGGAAGAUAAUGACGGUACCAGCAGAAGAAGCCCCGGCUAACUCCGUG
rnacentral:rRNA from 1 species